rnacentral:rRNA from 1 species
CCUACGGGAGGCAGCAGUGGGGAAUGUUGCACAAUGGGCGAAAGCCUGAUGCAGCAACGCCGCGUGAAGGAAGAAGGCCUUCGGGUCGUAAACUUCUGUCCUUGGGGAAGAGCAGAAGACGGUACCUCUUGAAUAAGCCCCGGCUAACUACGUGCCAGCAGCCGCGGUAAUACGUAGGUGGCAAGCGUUGUCCGGAUUUACUGGGUGUAAAGGGCGUGUAGCCGGGCUGACAAGUCAGAUGUGAAAUCCCGUGGCUCAACCACGGAACUGCAUUUGAAACUGUCGGUCUUGAGUAUCGGAGAGGCAGGCGGAAUUCCUAGUGUAGCGGUGAAAUGCGUAGAUAUUAGGAGGAACACCAGUGGCGAAGGCGGCCUGCUGGACGACAACUGACGGUGAGGCGCGAAAGCGUGGGGAGCAAACAGGAUUAGAUACCCCAGUAGUC